AUUGAACGCUGGCGGCAGGCUUAACACAUGCAAGUCGAGCGGGGGAAGGUAGCUUGCUACCGGACCUAGCGGCGGACGGGUGAGUAAUGCUUAGGAAUCUGCCUAUUAGUGGGGGACAACAUCUCGAAAGGGAUGCUAAUACCGCAUACGUCCUACGGGAGAAAGCAGGGGAUCUUCGGACCUUGCGCUAAUAGAUGAGCCUAAGUCGGAUUAGCUAGUUGGUGGGGUAAAGGCCUACCAAGGCGACGAUCUGUAGCGGGUCUGAGAGGAUGCUCCGCCACACUGGGACUGAGACAUGGCCUAGACUCCUACGGGGGGCAGCAGUGGGGUAUAUUGGACAAUGGGGGGAACCGUGAUCCAUCCAUGCCGCGUGUGUGAAGAAGGCCUUAUGGUUGUAAAGCACUUUAAGCGAGGAGGAGGUUACUUUAUUUAAUACCUAGGGAUAGUGGACGUUACUCGCAGAAUAAGCACCGGCUAACUCUGUGCCAGCCGCCGCCGUAA
rnacentral:rRNA from 1 species